rnacentral:rRNA from 1 species
UACGUAGGUGGCAAGCGUUGUCCGGAAUUAUUGGGCGUAAAGCGCGCGCAGGCGGUCCUUUAAGUCUGAUGUGAAAGCCCACGGCUCAACCGUGGAGGGUCAUUGGAAACUGGAGGACUUGAGUGCAGAAGAGGAAAGUGGAAUUCCAAGUGUAGCGGUGAAAUGCGUAGAGAUUGGAGGAACACCAGUGGCGAAGGCGACUUCUGGUCUGUAACUGACGCUGAGGCGCGAAAGCGUGGGGAGCAAAC